rnacentral:rRNA from 1 species
CGGAACGGGUGAGUAAUGUCUGGGAAACUGCCUGAUGGAGGGGGAUAACUACUGGAAACGGUAGCUAAUACCGCAUAACGUCGCAAGACCAAAGAGGGGGACCUUCGGGCCUCUUGCCAUCGGAUGUGCCCAGAUGGGAUUAGCUAGUAGGUGGGGUAACGGCUCACCUAGGCGACGAUCCCUAGCUGGUCUGAGAGGAUGACCAGCCACACUGGAACUGAGACACGGUCCAG